rnacentral:rRNA from 1 species
GAAUUCGCCCUUAGAGUUUGAUCCUGGCUCAAGACGAACGCUGGCGGCGUGCUUAACACAUGCAAGUCGAACGAAGCUUGAUUACGGAGCUCUACGGAGUGAAGUAAGAAAUGACUUAGUGGCGGACGGGUGAGUAACGCGUGAGCAACCUGCCUUUCAGAGGGGGAUAACGUUUGGAAACGAACGCUAAUACCGCAUAACAUAUGUUUGUGGCAUCGCAGACAUAUCAAAGAUUUAUCGCUGAGAGAUGGACUCGCGUCUGAUUAGGUAGUUGGUGAGGUAAAGGCCCACCAAGCCGACGAUCAGUAGCCGGACUGAGAGGUUGACCGGCCACAUUGGGACUGAGACACGGCCCAGACUCCUACGGGGGGCAGCAGUGGGGAAUAUUGCACAAUGGGCGCAAGCCUGAUGCAGCAACGCCGCGUGAGGGAAGACGGUCUUCGGAUUGUAAACCUUUGUCUUUGGUGAAGAAGGAAGUGACGGUAGCCAAGGAGGAAGCCACGGCUAACUACGUGCCAGCAGCCGCGGUAAUACGUAGGUGGCAAGCGUUGUCCGGAAUUACUGGGUGUAAGGGGAGCGCAGGCGGGACAGCAAGUUGGAUGUGAAAUACCGAGGCUUAACCACGGAGCUGCAUCCAAAACUGUUGUUCUUGAGUGAAGUAGAGGUAGGCGGAAUUCCGAGUGUAGCGGUGAAAUGCGUAGAUAUUCGGAGGAACACCAGUGGCGAAGGCGGCCUACUGGGCUUUAACUGACGCUGAGGCUCGAAAGUGUGGGGAGCAAACAGGAUUAGAUCCCCUGGUAGUCCACACUGUA